UACGUAGGGUGCAAGCGUUAAUCGGAAUUACUGGGCGUAAAGCGUGCGCAGGCGGUGAUGUAAGACAGGUGUGAAAUCCCCGGGCUUAACCUGGGAACUGCAUUUGUGACUGCAUCGCUGGAGUGCGGCAGAGGGGGAUGGAAUUCCGGGUGUAGUGGUGAAAUGCGUAGAGAUCCGGAGGAACCCCAGAGGCGAAGGCGGCGCCCUGGCUCGACACUGACGCUCAGACACGACAGCAUGGGGAGCGAACGGG
rnacentral:rRNA from 1 species